AGUCGAGCGGACAGAAGGGAGCUUGCUCCCGGAUGUUAGCGGCGGACGGGUGAGUAACACGUGGGUAACCUGCCUGUAAGACUGGGAUAACUCCGGGAAACCGGAGCUAAUACCGGAUAGUUCCUUGAACCGCAUGGUUCAAGGAUGAAAGACGGUUUCGGCUGUCACUUACAGAUGGACCCGCGGCGCAUUAGCUAGUUGGUGAGGUAACGGCUCACCAAGGCGACGAUGCGUAGCCGACCUGAGAGGGUGAUCGGCCACACUGGGACUGAGACACGGCCCAGACUCCUACGGGAGGCAGCAGUAGGGAAUCUUCCGCAAUGGACGAAAGUCUGACGGAGCAACGCCGCGUGAGUGAUGAAGGUUUUCGGAUCGUAAAGCUCUGUUGUUAGGGAAGAACAAGUGCAAGAGUAACUGCUUGCACCUUGACGGUACCUAACCAGAAAGCCACGGCUAACUACGUGCCAGCAGCCGCGGUAAUACGUAGGUGGCAAGCGUUGUCCGGAAUUAUUGGGCGUAAAGGGCUCGCAGGCGGUUUCUUAAGUCUGAUGUGAAAGCCCCCGGCUCAACCGGGGAGGGUCAUUGGAAACUGGGAAACUUGAGUGCAGAAGAGGAGAGUGGAAUUCCACGUGUAGCGGUGAAAUGCGUAGAGAUGUGGAGGAACACCAGUGGCGAAGGCGACUCUCUGGUCUGUAACUGACGCUGAGGAGCGAAAGCGUGGGGAGCGAACAGGAUUAGAUACCCUGGUAGUCCACGCCGUAAACGAUG
rnacentral:rRNA from 1 species